rnacentral:rRNA from 1 species
CCUACGGGCGGCCGCAGUGGGGAAUAUUGGACAAUGGGGGGAACCCUGAUCCAGCCAUGCCGCGUGUGUGAAGAAGGCCCUCGGGUUGUAAAGCACUUUCAGUGAGGAAGAACGCCUGGUGGUUAAUACCCAUCAGGAAAGACAUCACUCACAGAAGAAGCACCGGCUAACUCCGUGCCAGCAGCCGCGGUAAUACGGAGGGUGCGAGCGUUAAUCGGAAUUACUGGGCGUAAAGCGCGCGUAGGUGGCUUGAUAAGCCGGUUGUGAAAGCCCCGGGCUCAACCUGGGAACGGCAUCCGGAACUGUCAAGCUAGAGUGCAGGAGAGGAAGGUAGAAUUCCCGGUGUAGCGGUGAAAUGCGUAGAGAUCGGGAGGAAUACCAGUGGCGAAGGCGGCCUUCUGGACUGACACUGACACUGAGGUGCGAAAGCGUGGGUAGCAAACAGGAUUAGAUACCCUAGUAGUC